rnacentral:rRNA from 1 species
AUUGAACGCUAGCGGGAUGCUUUACACAUGCAAGUCGAGCGAGCGGCGGACGGGUGAGUAAUGUAUGGGGACUGCCCGAUAGAGGGGGAUAACUACUGGAAACGGUAGCUAAUACUGCAUACUAUCGGAUAACCCAUAUGGGAUUAGCUAGUAGGUGAGGUAAUGGCUCACCUAGGCGACGAUCCCUAGCUGGUCUGAGAGGAUGAUCAGCCCCACGGGGACUGAGACACGGCCCAGACUCCUACGGAGUAAGAGGUGGGGAAGAGUGCACAAUGGGCGCGAGCCUGAUGCAGCCAUGCCGCGUGUAUGAAGAAGGCCCUAGGGUUGUAAAGUACUUUCAGUCGGGAGGCGUUACCGACAGAAGAAGCACCGGCUAACUCCGUGCCAGCAGCCGCGGUAAUUC